AAAAUCUUUUCCUUAGGGUUGCGCUACUGUUCAAUGAGCAUAUAGUGAAGGUAGUACCACCUACAAAACACACCUGCAUCAACUGGAGCUUUGCUUUCCUUUGGUUUUACUAUUUAUAUAA
rnacentral:snRNA from 1 species